rnacentral:misc_RNA from 1 species
GAUGAAGAACGCAGCGAAAUGCGAUACGUAAUGUGAAUUGCAGAAUUCAGUGAAUCAUCGAAUCUUUGAACGCAUAUUGCGCUCUCUGGUAUUCCGGAGAGCAUGCUUGUUUGAGUAUCAGUAAACACCUCAACUUCCAUAUCUUUUUUGAAAUGGGAGUUGGACUUGAGUGAUCCCAACGCUUUUCCUCACCGAAAAGUGGCGGGUUACUUGAAAUGCAGGUGCAGCUGGACUUUUCUCUGAGCUAUAACCAUAUCUAUUUAGUCUGCCUAAAAAACAGAUUAUUACCUUUGCUGCAGCUAACAUAAAGGAGAUUAGUUCUUGUGCUGACUGAUGCAGGAUUCACAAAGACAGGCUUCGGCCGACUUUGUAAACUCGAUCUCAAAUCAAGUAAGACUACCCGCUGAACUUAAGCAUAUCAAUAAGCGGAGGA